rnacentral:rRNA from 1 species
UACGAAGGGGGCUAGCGUUGCUCGGAAGUACUGGGCGUAAAGGGAGCGUAGGCGGACAUUUAAGUCAGAGGUGAAAUCCCGGAGCUCAACUCCGGAACUGCCUUUGAUACUGGCAAUCUUGAGACUGGAAGAGGUUAGUGGAAUUCCCAGUGUAGAGGUGAAAUUCGUAGAUAUUGGGAAGAACACCAGUGGCGAUGUCGGCUAACUGGUCCAGUACUGACGCUGAGGUGCGAAAGCGUGGGGAGCAAACAGG